UAAUACGAGGGGUGCAAACGUUAUUCGGAAUCACUGGGCGUAAAGGGUGCGUAGACGGCGAAAUAAGUCGAUCAUUAAAUCUCCUGGCUUAACCAGGAGCUCGUGAUCGAAACUGAUUCGCUUGAGGAUGGAAGAGAGAAGUGGAAUUCUCGGAGUAGCGGUAAAAUGCGUAGAUCUCGAGAGGAACACCGAUGGCGAAGGCAGCUUCUUGGUCCAUUUCUGACGUUGAGGCACGAAAGCGUGGGGAGCAAACAGG
rnacentral:rRNA from 1 species